CCAAGCCCAGGUGUGAUCCGAUUCUUCCAGUGCACCAAGAGUACAUAAAUGGAAGUCUCACCCCCUCAAGUGGAUUCUCUGUACUGUAGCUGGCUCAAGAAAGGAGAAGGGGCUUUGUCAAGUAAAACUGGCUGAUUGGUUCCACAUCUAUAAAACAGAAAAUGCAAAUAUUAAAUAUCUAUUUGGCCUUCCUCAUCAUGGAUACAAUGACGGUAAAAGGUAACUUCACAGGAUUAAAUAGCUUGAAAACAAAGUGUCGAGAAAAUGAAGACACUUUUAAUAUCAUCAUUGUGAUCUUCAAUCAAGAAACAUUUCUCUUUUUUCAAUUUGCAACUGGAAUCUUAUUCUCACAUGAAACUUGCACUAUUAGUGCAAAGUUGUGCUUCAUUGUUAAAAUGAACAAAAGCAAUUACAUUGUGCUGUAAGGAAAUAUGCUUGGUCCUUGAUCAGAAGUAAUUCUGUCAGUAUAACACGUGCUGAAAGGCAGCAAAGGUUGGCCUCUCAAGGUCACUACUCCAGAC
rnacentral:lncRNA from 1 species